CGGUUGAUCCUGCCGGAGGCCGCUGCUAUCCGGCUGGGACUAAGCCAUGCUAGUCUAGGGGCUUGUACCCCUUCGGGGGUGCAAGCACCGGCGGACGGCUCAGUAACACGUGGACAACCUGCCCUCGGGUGGGGGAUGACCCCGGGAAACUGGGGCUAAUCCCCCAUAGGUGAUGGGUGCUGGAAUGCCCCAUCUCCGAAAGCGCUUAGCGCCCGAGGAUGGGUCUGCGGCGGAUUAGGUAGUUGGUGGGGUAACGGCCCACCAAGCCUAAGAUCCGUACGGGCUGUGGGAGCAGGAGCCCGGAGAUGGACCCUGAGACAAGGGUCCAGGCCCUACGGGGCGCAGCAGGCGCGAAACCUCCGCAAUGCGGGAAACCGCGACGGGGUUAGCCGGAGUGCCCGUGCAUUGCACGGGCUGUCGGGGUGCCUAAACAGCACCCCAUAGCAAGGGCCGGGCAAGGCCGGUGGCAGCCGCCGCGGUAAGACCGGCGGCCCGAGUGGCGGCCACUCUUAUUGGGCCUAAAGCGUCCGUAGCCGGCCCAGUAAGUCCCCCGGGAAAUCUGGUCGCUUAACGAUCAGACUUCCGGGGGAUACUGCUGGGCUAGGGACCGGGAGAGGCCGAGGGUAUUCCCGGGGUAGGGGUGAAAUCCUGUAAUCCCGGGAGGACCACCUGUGGCGAAGGCGCUCGGCUGGAACGGGUCCGACGGUGAGGGACGAAGGCCUGGGGAGCGAACCGGAUUAGAUACCCGGGUAGUCCAGGCUGUAAACGAUGCGGGCUAGGUGUCACCGGAGCUACGAGCUCCGGUGGUGCCGGAGGGAAGCCGUUAAGCCCGCCGCCUGGGAAGUACGGCCGCAAGGCUGAAACUUAAAGGAAUUGGCGGGGGAGCAC
rnacentral:rRNA from 1 species